GACGAACGCUGGCGGCGUGCUUAACACAUGCAAGUCGAGCGGUAAGGCCCUUUCGGGGGUACGACGAGCGGCGAACGGGUGAGUAACACGUGGGUGACCUGCCCUUAGCUCUGGGAUAAGCCUGGGAAACUGGGUCUAAUACCGGAUAUGACUCCAUGACGCAUGUUGUGGGGUGGAAAGCCUUGUGCGGCUAGGGAUGGGCCCGCGGCCUAUCAGCUUGUUGGUGGGGUGAUGGCCACCAAGGCGACGACGGGUAGCCGGCCUGAGAGGGCGACCGGCCACACUGGGACUGAGACACGGCCCAGACUCCUACGGGAGGGCAGCAGUGGGGAAUCUUGCGCAAUGGGCGAAAGCCUGACGCAGCGACGCCGCGUGAGGGAUGACGGCCU
rnacentral:rRNA from 1 species